UACGGAGGGGGCUAGCGUUGUUCGGAAUUACUGGGCGUAAAGCGCACGUAGGCGGACUGGAAAGUCAGAGGUGAAAUCCCAGGGCUCAACCUUGGAACUGCCUUUGAAACUCCAGGUCUUGAGGUCGGGAGAGGUGAGUGGAAUUCCGAGUGUAGAGGUGAAAUUCGUAGAUAUUCGGAGGAACACCAGUGGCGAAGGCGGCUCACUGGACCGUUACUGACGCUGAGGCGCGAAAGCGUGGGGAGCAAACAGG
rnacentral:rRNA from 1 species